rnacentral:snRNA from 1 species
AUACUUACCUACCAGGGGAGACACCAUGAUCAUGAAAGUGGUUUCGGGGGGGGGGCGCUUAUGCAUUGCACUCCAGAUCUGCUAACCCUUGUGAUUUCCCCAAAUGUGGGAAACUGGACAGCAUAAUUUCUGGUAGUGGGAAACUGCGUUCACACUUUCCUG